UGACUAUAAACCUUCGCGUGAUGCAAUGUAAUCUCGUUGCUAUUUUUAGGUAUGAUUCCACCGACCAAUAAAACGCAGAUGCUCAUUUGCGGUUUCAAAGGCUGAUCGAUAAAUUAUUUCAAAGCAAAGGGCCAAUAUCUCAAGAAGUAAGAAAAUCAGAGUUUAUAUUUUGUGCAGCAUUUUUUUAAAAUUAUUUAUGUAAUUUUAUACUACCGACAAAAAUAAAUAAAGACAUAUGUUUUUUAUUUCA